rnacentral:rRNA from 1 species
GUGGGGAAUAUUGGACAAUGGGCGCAAGCCUGAUCCAGCCAUGCCGCGUGUGUGAAGAAGGCCUUCGGGUUGUAAAGCACUUUUGUUGGGGAAGAAAACCUGUUGGUUAAUACCCGAUGGGAAUGACGGUACCCAAAGAAUAAGCACCGGCUAACUUCGUGCCAGCAGCCGCGGUAAUACGAAGGGUGCAAGCGUUACUCGGAAUUACUGGGCGUAAAGCGUGCGUAGGUGGUUCGUUAAGUCUGCCGUGAAAGCCCCGGGCUCAACCUGGGAAUUGCGGUGGAUACUGGCGGACUAGAGUGCGGUAGAGGGUGGUGGAAUUCCCGGUGUAGCAGUGAAAUGCGUAGAGAUCGGGAGGAACAUCUGUGGCGAAGGCGGCCACCUGGACCAGCACUGACACUGAGGCACGAAAGCGUGGGGAGCAAACAGGAUUAGAAACCCUGGUAGUCC